ensembl:lncRNA
UUAUAUGGUUAUUUCAGUAAGAUGUAGCUUUCCUGUUUCCCUAUGGAGCCUCUGUCUGUAUUUUAAAACUCCCCUGCUGGUUAACUUCAAGAACCGGAGCAGGGAUUUCUACCACAAUGUGCCUGGGAAUACUAACUUACAGUAAGAAAUUUAGUAUCUUUAGAAGCACCUACUGCCUUUGACACUGCUACGUCCCUUCUUACAUGUGACUGCUUAUGCCUUCAUGCGAGUUAAACAUGGAAUGUUGCACAUAGGGAACUGUGCAAGCUUGUGGUUGUAUGCUGUGACCUGCUUGUGUGUAUUACUUAGAGUGGAUUUAAUAUUGGUAAAUAAAGUGACUCUUAUUCUACAGAACCAGUCCUUGUUUUGGGAAGCUUCUUAGUACGUUGUACCUGUUGCUCUUCUGUGAUGCGUACUUCUGUUUCUGUGGUCUAAAGGAAGCCAAGUCAUAUGGGCUGUGGGGUAGACAUGCACAUUAAGGUCUGUGGGGCAUAGUAGCAUGCUGUUGUCAUGUGAUAAUCUUCAGGCAAGAUAAAGUGUGUCCCUGACUUUCUCAUUUCUUUCAUAAGGGUUUUUAUUAGCACUUAAACUGUGAUUGUUGUGAUGGGCUUGAUGUUGUAAAUAGUUCAGAGAACACUUACUGUUCAGAACAGCGGUUGUUGAGAACGCUUAUUGUUCAGAACAGCAUUCAUUCCAGAAUUUCUGGAGACCUUAACUGGAUACAUCUGUGCUGUAAUCUGGAGCAGUGCUCUGAUUUCCCGUCUUCUGAGUUCUUUAAUGUUCCUUGGUAUUCUUUGUUCAUGUCUGUUUUUUAAUGCUGUCUACCUAAGAUGACUGGGUUAUUUGUCAAAGUACAGACUUUGUAUUUUUUAAGCAUAUAUAUGGGUAACAUAGCAUUCAGCCCUUCCUGGUGCAUUGUGUAACUCCUGUGUUUCCAGGAAAAAAAAAAAGCUUUCUGUUGCAUAAGAUAACAGGUCUGCCUGGGGGACAGAGUUGUUUUUCCCAUAGAAUAAUAAGGUGAUCGGAAACAGUUUAAAUUGGCUUAAAGUGUAAAUGUGAUAAACUUCACACUGCAGCUGACUGAAAAUGCUGGAGGAGUUACCUCCUCCUCCUCCUUAUCUGACAGUAAGGUAAUUAGGAGGAGAGGGUGGGUAAAGAAUUCAUAUUUACCAGCCUUCUAUUGCGUAUUAGGGUGUGAUGCAGGAGCAGGUGGCUUUGUCACGUCAUCUCCAUAAUUGAA